rnacentral:rRNA from 1 species
AAUGAACGUUGGCGGCGUGGAUUAGGCAUGCAAGUCGAGCGAGAAGGGUUUGGUGCUUGCAUUGAACCUGGAAAGCGGCGAAAGGGAGAGUAACGCGUAGGACACUACCCCCAGGUUCGGGAUAGCGGCGGGAAACUGCCGGUAAUACCGAAUAAUGUCUCCGGACCAAAGGUGAGAUUCCGUCUGGGGAUGGUCCUGCGUCCUAUUAGCUUGUUGGUGGGUAAUGGCCUACCAAGGCAAAGAUGGGUAGCGGGCGUGAGAGCGUGGCCCGUCUCACUGGGACUGAGACACUGCCCAGACGUCUACGGACGGCUGCAGUCGAGAAUCUUCCGCAAUGGACGAAAGUCUGACGGAGCGACGCCGCGUGCGGGAUGAAGGCCUUCGGGUUGUAAACCGCUGUCAGAGGGGAGCAAAUUUUGAGCAAUCCUCAGAGGAAGCACAGGCUAAGUUCGUG